rnacentral:rRNA from 1 species
GGGUGGUAAUGCCGGAUGCUCCAUCACACCGCAUGGUGUGUUGGGAAAGCCUUUGCGGCAUGGGAUGGGGUCGCGUCCUAUCAGCUUGAUGGCGGGGUAACGGCCCACCAUGGCUUCGACGGGUAGCCGGCCUGAGAGGGCGACCGGCCACAUUGGGACUGAGAUACGGCCCAGACUCCUACGGGAGGCAGCAGUGGGGAAUAUUGCACAAUGGGCGCAAGCCUGAUGCAGCGACGCCGCGUGAGGGAUGGAGGCCUUCGGGUUGUAAACCUCUUUUGUUAGGGAGCAAGGCAUUUUGUGUUGAGUGUACCUUUCGAAUAAGCACCGGCUAACUACGUGCCAGCAGCCGCGGUAAUACGUAGGGUGCAAGCGUUAUCCGGAAUUAUUGGGCGUAAAGGGCUCGUAGGCGGUUCGUCGCGUCCGGUGUGAAAGUCCAUCGCUUAACGGUGGAUCCGCGCCGGGUACGGGCGGGCUUGAGUGCGGUAGGGGAGACUGGAAUUCCCGGUGUAACGGUGGAAUGUGUAGAUAUCGGGAAAGAACACCA